AAUCUUAUGUAAAUUUUAUAAGACAAUUUCUGCCCAAUGAUUUUUUUAAUGGCCGCAGUACCUUGACUGUGCUAAGGUAGCAUAAUCAAUUGGCUUUUAAAUGAAGUCUAGAAUGAAAGGAUAUUUGAAGUAAUGAUUGUCUCUACCUUACUUUAUUGAAAUUGCUUAUUUAGGUGAAAAGACCUUUUUCUUCAAGAAAGACGAGAAGACCCUUAGAAUUUUAAAUAUAUAUAUAUUAUUAUACCUUUUUUGUUGGGGUGACACAUUAACAGCUUUAACUUUUUUUUAUACAAGACAGUAUUAUGAGAAAGAGAAAAUUACCUUAGGGAUAACAGCAUAAUUUUUUUAUUAGAUUAUGACCUCGAUGUUGGACUAGGAACCUAAUAAUUAGUAAUUAAAUUGGUAAGUUCUGUUCGAACUAAAUUUUCCU
rnacentral:rRNA from 1 species